rnacentral:tRNA from 1 species
GGGAAUAAAGCAUUUAUUGAUGCGUGUCAUUUACAUUGAUAUUAAACUAAAGCAAUAGUUGUUCCUU